rnacentral:tRNA from 1 species
UAAGCUUGCGGCGCUGGUUUCCCUCCCUUCCCUCCUGUGGUUUUUAUGAUUGAGCAAGCAUGUUUCGAAUGGGGGGGGGGUGUGCUUGUGUGGUUGUAGCAAUUUUUGCUUCCCACACCGUCUGUCGAAGGAUCGACGUCACCACGAUCCCUUCAAAAGCAUAUAAUUUAUACGGGGCCUCUGCCGUCUUUCCCCUUUAUCAAGCUUGACGAAAAAGUUGCCACAGCAAAUCCAGAAGUUUUUCGUCGGCCGCUGCUGAUCGCAAAGAAAUACCGUAUCGUUUGGGCCCCUGCCCAAUAAAAUCUAUGACAAGAUGGCCGAGUGGUUAAGGCGUACCGUUCAAGCUGUCACGUGAACACUUGGAAAGUUCCCUCUUUGGGAGAACUUCCUGAUCCGGUAUGGGGAAACCCGCGUGAGUUCGAGUCUCGCUCUUGUCAAUAUUUAUCUUUUUUUUAAAUCCUUCUUUUUUCCCCUUUUCUUUUAUGAAAAGUACA